CUAUCUGAAAGGCACUCAACUAGAUGUGCUCAGAUUUUCUUAGCUCUAAACAUUUGUUUCAUUUGUUUUCAUGUUUCAGUUCCUUAUAAUGACUCUUUAAUAGAGGGAAAGUAUCUUUAAACAUACGUCGUACAAAUAGCUGUCUGUUUUUGUUAAAUUAACACUUAAUACUGGUUUCUAUAUGGUUAUAUUGUUUUUUUCAUAAAGCUUUAAAUUUCUUGGAACAUUCAUAUUAAACCAGAACCAUUCAUAAUUAUCAAAAGCUUUGAAACAGGAGCUGGAGGUAUAUAGCUCAAUUGUUAGAAGCACUUGCUGAUCUUCCAGAAGAUCUAAGUUUGAUUACCAGGACCCACAUGAGACAGUUCAUAAACCAGCUGUGUUUCCAGUUCAAAUGGAUUCAACAUCCUCUGUUGGCCUCAUCAGGUGCCUGUACACAUCCGGCACACACUGGUACAGACAUAAAACAGUAUUCCUGUAAUACCUGAGAACCAGUCAUAGUAACUUCAGAAAUAAUAAAACAUAAGUGGUAUACCAAAUAUUUGAUUUUUGUACCCCAUAUGUUUAUUGAAAAAUUAAAGUUUAGAAGAUAAUAUAAAAAUUUAGAAAAUUCUAAAUAAUCAUGCUAAUUUCAUUCAUUAAAAAAAACUUUUUACCCCCUCCCCCAGUUCUAGAGUUUGAAAGAGUCUACCUUGAAAAUCUCCCCAGUGCAUCCAUGUAUGAGCGCAGUUACAUGCACCGAGAUGUUAUCACACAUGUGGUGUGCACCAAAACAGAUUUUAUUAUCACUGCCAGUCAUGAUGGGCAUGUCAAAUUUUGGAAAAAAAUAGAAGAAGGAAUUGAGUUUGUUAAACAUUUUCG
rnacentral:lncRNA from 1 species